rnacentral:rRNA from 1 species
UACAGAGGGUGCGAGCGUUAAUCGGAAUUACUGGGCGUAAAGCGCACGUAGGCGGCUUGGUAUGUCGGGUGUGAAAUCCCCGGGCUCAACCUGGGAACUGCAUCCGAAACUGCCUUGCUCGAGUAUGGGAGAGGGAAGUGGAAUUUCCGGUGUAGCGGUGAAAUGCGUAGAUAUCGGAGGAACAUCAGUGGCGAAGGCGACUUCCUGGACCAAUACUGACGCUCAGGUGCGAAAGCGUGGGGAGCAAACAGG